GGUGUUUCUCCUGGUAUGGGUUGAACAGCCCUGCGGUGAAACCACAUCCUGCAGCAACGCGUGCAUUGACUCUGCUCCUGGCUACAUGAAGACCUGCCAGGUAGCUGUUCCUUGAGACUCUGCACUGUCGUCCCUGAGGCAAGCUGUCCCAGAGGCCUCAAAGAGAGAUUUGCUCACAGCCUUUCCUCCCAGUUCUGCAAUUUUCUCAACUAUGUGAGCCAGGGGUCUGCCCAAAGAAGAUUCAUACAGAGCUGAGCCAGGGACUCUGGAGCACCAGGAGAUGCCUGAUUCUGGUAGAACUGAGGAAGUGGAAAACACUGUUAUGAAGGGCGCUCUAAUGACGCUCACAGCUAUAUACAAAUUCCAAAUCUGUUUAGAUCCAUCCACUUUUGAAAG